GUGUUCGCUUCAGCAGCACAUACACUAAAAUUGGAAUGAUACAGAGAAGAUUAGCAUGGCCCCUGUGCAAGGAUGACAUGUAAAUGAUUAAUUUUUUAUAUGCUGUA
ensembl:snRNA U6 U6 spliceosomal RNA